rnacentral:sRNA from 1 species
GUUGGGCGCAGAGGCGUACGCCUGUAAUCCCAGCAGCCAAGGAGGCUGAGGCAGGAGGAUCGCAAGUUCAAUGCCAGCCUCAGCAACUUAGCGAGGACCUAAGCAACUCAGUGAGACCCUGUCUCAA